rnacentral:misc_RNA from 1 species
GAUGAAGAACGUAGUGAAAUGCGAAAAGUAAUGUGAAUUGCAGAAUUCAGUGAAUCAUCGAAUCUUUGAACGCACAUUGCGCCCCUUGGUAUUCCGAGGGGCAUGCCUGUUCGAGCGUCAUUAUAACCCCUCAAGCUCAGCUUGGUGUUGGGGCCUGCUGCACUGGCAGCCCUUAAAAUCAGUGGCGGCGCCAUCUGGCUCUAAGCGUAGUAAUUCUUCUCGCUAUGGAGUCCUGGUGGAUGCUUGCCAUCAACCCCCAAUUUUUCUAUGGUUGACCUCGGAUCAGGUAGGGAUACCCGCUGAACUUAAGCAUAUCAAUAAGCGGAGGA